rnacentral:rRNA from 1 species
UUCCGGUUGAUCCUGCGGACCUCACUGCUAUCGGGGUGGGACUAAGAUAUGCAAGUCGUACGUCUCCCAGCCGCCGGGGGAGGCGUGGCGCACGGCUCCGUAACACGUGGCUAACCUACCCUUGGGACGGGGGUAACCCCGGGAAACUGGGGCUAAUCCCCGAUAGGCGAGGAUGCCUGGAAUGGUUCCUCGCCGAAAGGGCACCGGAACCGUGCUUCCGGUGUCGCCCAAGGAUGGGGCCGCGGCCGAUCAGGUUGUUGGUGGGGUAACGGCCCACCAAGCCGAUAACCGGUACGGGCCGUGAGAGCGGGAGCCCGGAGAUGGGCACUGAGACAAGGGCCCAGGCCCUACGGGGCGCAGCAGUCGCGAAACCUCCGCAAUGCGCGAAAGCGCGACGGGGCCACCCCGAGUGCCGCCCGCUGAGGGCGGCUUUUCCCCGGUGUAGAUAGCCGGGGGAAUAAGGGGAGGGCAAGUCUGGUGUCAGCCGCCGCGGUAAUACCAGCUCCCCGAGUGGUGGGGACGAUUAUUGGGCCUAAAGCGUCCGUAGCCGGCCCGGCAAGUCUCCCGUUAAAUCCAGCGAUCUAAUCGCUGGACUGCGGGAGAUACUGUCGGGCUAGGGGGCGGGAGAGGCCGGCGGUAUUCCCGGGGUAGGGGUGAAAUCCUAUAAUCCCGGGAGGACCACCAGUGGCGAAGGCUGCCGGCUGGAACGCGCCCGACGGUGAGGGACGAAAGCCGGGGGAGCGAACCGGAUUAGAUACCCGGGUAGUCCCGGCUGUAAACGAUGCGGGCUAGGUGUUGGCACGGCUACGAGCCGUGCCAGUGCCGCAGGGAAGCCGUUAAGCCCGCCGCCUGGGGAGUACGGCCGCAAGGCUGAAACUUAAAGGAAUUGGCGGGGGAGCACCACAAGGGGUGAAGCUUGCGGUUUAAUUGGAUCAACGCCGGA